rnacentral:lncRNA from 1 species
ACUUUCCCCAGGAACCAAGGUGGCAUAAGGGAGAGUGCUCUCAGGUAUUGGAACUGUGCCUAGGACCUCUAC